rnacentral:ncRNA from 2 species
GGAAGCCGGUGCGAAGCCGGCACGGUCGCGCCACUGUGAGGCUGCCGGCAUCCCCAUGCCCUGCCGAGUCAGAC